rnacentral:lncRNA from 1 species
CCUCCUCAAGGAGUUCUUCAUCACAAAAGCUAAGAUUCUUAAAGGAAGUGAUGUUAGCCACAAUAUGAUCAAAUUGAUCCACUGUAACAUCAUGUUCCACAAAAGCUUGCUCGAGAAAUUUCUUCAAUGCUUCUCUGUGCGCUUUUGAGUUCAUGAGCAGAGACAACACUGAGAUCUUUGAGGGGAUUUGGAGUAAUUGCUCCACCAUAUUAAACUCACUCCUCUUGAUCAAUCGAAGUACCUCAUCAUCAUCAUUAGCCUUCGAAUCGC